UACGGAGGGUGCAAGCGUUAUCCGGAUUUACUGGGUUUAAAGGGUGCGUAGGUGGGCAGGUAAGUCAGUGGUGAAAUCUCCAAGCUUAACUUGGAACUGCCGUUGAUACUAUAAAAUCUUGAAUGUUGUGGAGGUGAGCGGAAUAUGUCAUGUAGCGGUGAAAAUGCUUAGAUAUGACAUAGAACACCAAUUGCGAAAGGCAGCUCACUACACAAAGAUUGACACUGAGGCAACGAAA
rnacentral:rRNA from 1 species